rnacentral:rRNA from 1 species
UGACCCCAGGUCAGGCGGGACUACCCGC